UACAGAGGGGGCAAGCGUUGUUCGGAAUUACUGGGCGUAAAGGGCGCGUAGGCGGCCUUCUAAGUCGAACGUGAAAUCCCCGGGCUCAACCCGGGAACUGCGUCCGAUACUGGAAGGCUUGAAUCCGGGAGAGGGAUGCGGAAUUCCAGGUGUAGCGGUGAAAUGCGUAGAUAUUGGGAGGAACACCAGUGGCGAAGGCGGCUCACUGGACCGGAACUGACGCUGAGGCGCGAAAGCGUGGGGAGCAAACAGG
rnacentral:rRNA from 1 species